rnacentral:pre_miRNA from 1 species
AAAUGAAUUACCUGGAAAUCUUGUUAAAAUGCAGAUUCUGAUUCAAUAGGUCCAGGGUGGGGCCUGAGACUCUGCAUUUCCAACAGGCUCCCAAGUGAUCUUGAA